GUCGAACGGUAGAGUAGCAAUACUCGAGAGUGGCGAACGGGUGAGUAAUAUAUCGGAACGUGCCCAGUCGUGGGGGAUAACGUAGCGAAAGCUACGCUAAUACCGCAUACGAUCUAUGGAUGAAAGCGGGGGACUCGCAAGGGCCUCGCGCGACUGGAGCGGCCGAUAUCAGAUUAGCUAGUUGGUGGGGUAAAAGCUCACCAAGGCGACGAUCUGUAGCUGGUCUGAGAGGACGACCAGCCACACUGGGACUGAGACACGGCCCAGACUCCUACGGGAGGCAGCAGUGGGGAAUUUUGGACAAUGGGCGAAAGCCUGAUCCAGCAAUGCCGCGUGCAGGAUGAAGGCCUUCGGGUUGUAAACUGCUUUUGUACGGAGCGAAACGGUCUUCUUUAAUACAGAGGGCUAAUGACGGUACCGUAAGAAUAAGCACCGGCUAACUACGUGCCAGCAGCCGCGGUAAUACGUAGGGUGCAAGCGUUAAUCGGAAUUACUGGGCGUAAAGCGUGCGCAGGCGGUUAUAUAAGACAGAUGUGAAAUCCCUGGGCUCAACCUAGGAACUGCAUCUGUGACUGUAUAGCUAGAGUACGGUAGAGGGGGAUGGAAUUCCGCGUGUAGCAGUGAAAUGCGCAGAUAUGCGGAGGAACACCGAUGGCGAAGGCAAUCCCCUGGACCUGUACUGACGCUCAUGCACGAAAGC
rnacentral:rRNA from 1 species